GGAGAGGGAGAGGGGGGAGGGAGGGGGGAGAGAGAGUACAAACAAUCAUUUUGGCUCGUACUCAUGCUAUUGAUCUAUUGUAGCCAAUUGCUAAACGAGGCGACAAGGAUAGUAUCCCUGACGGUUCUGUAGCCCAUGUGCCAUAACGCAGAGGCUGCUGCCGAUUGCGCCCAUUUAAUACUUGUUGGAUUGUUGGAUUUCAACAUUUCUACUUCUCAAAAAUAAAAAUUACAGCUCGUUUAGAACCGUGAAUUUCACAAGAGUCCCUCGAACCUUAGAAGUUCUAUCUCGUACCUUUGGAAGAGAACUAUCCAAAGAGCGAGCGUAUGUAACGAAAACGCACAAAAGACAGAAAGCAAACGCC
rnacentral:lncRNA from 1 species